rnacentral:rRNA from 1 species
GACGAACGCUGGCGGCGUGCCUAACACAUGCAAGUCGAACGGAGUUGAGCCCUUCGGGACUUAACUUAGUGGCGAACGGGUGAGUAACGCGUGAGGAACCUGCCUUUCAGUGGGGGACAACAGUUGGAAACGACUGCUAAUACCGCAUAAUACUUUCGAGCGGCAUCGUUUGAAAGUCAAAGAUUUAUUGCUGAAAGAUGGCCUCGCGUCUGAUUAGCUAGUUGGUGGGGUAACGGCUCACCAAGGCGACGAUCAGUAGCCGGUCUGAGAGGAUGAACGGCCACAUUGGGACUGAGAUACGGCCCAGACUCCUACGGGAGGCAGCAGUGGGGAAUAUUGGGCAAUGGGGGAAACCCUGACCCAGCAACGCCGCGUGAA